GGCUCUGUAGCUCAACUGAAUAGAGCAUCUCACUACGGAUGAGAAGGUUUCAGGUUUGAAUCCUGACAGGGUCA
rnacentral:tRNA from 1 species